AUCCGAGUGGUGGAAUCGGUAGACACGUCGAACUUAAGCUUCGGUGCUUAUAGCAUGAAGGUUCAAAUCCUUCCUCGGAUA
rnacentral:tRNA from 1 species